rnacentral:rRNA from 1 species
GGAAUCUUCCACAAUGGGCGCAAGCCUGAUGGAGCAACACCGCGUGAGUGAAGAAGGGUUUCGGCUCGUAAAGCUCUGUUGUUAAAGAAGAACACGUAUGAGAGUAACUGUUCAUACGUUGACGGUAUUUAACCAGAAAGUCACGGCUAACUACGUGCAAG